rnacentral:rRNA from 1 species
UACGGAGGAUGCGAGCGUUAUCCGGAUUUAUUGGGUUUAAAGGGUGCGUAGGCGGAUCGUUAAGUCAGCGGUAAAAAUUCGGGGCUCAACCCCGUCGUGCCGUUGAAACUGGCGCCCUUGAGUGGGCGAGAAGUAUGCGGAGUGCGUGGUGUAGCGGUGAAAUGCAUAGAUAUCACGCAGAACCCCGAUUGCGAAGGCAGCAUACCGGCGCCCGACUGACGCUGAAGCACGAAAGCGUGGGUAUCGAACAGG